rnacentral:rRNA from 1 species
CUGACGCUAAAGCUCGAAGGUGCGGGUAUCGAACAGGAUUAGAUACCCUGGUAGUCCGCACGGUAAACGAUGGAUGCCCGCUGUUGGCGACACACAGUCAGCGGCCAAGCGAAAGCGUUAAGCAUCCCACCUGGGGAGUACGCCGGCAACGGUGAAACUCAAAGGAAUUGACGGGGGCCCGCACAAGCGGAGGAACAUGUGGUUUAAUUCGAUGAUACGCGAGGAACCUUACCCGGGCUUGAACUGCACAGGAAGGAAACAGAGAUGUUGACGCCCUUCGGGGCCUGUGUGGAGGUGCUGCAUGGUUGUCGUCAGCUCGUGCCGUGAGGUGUCGGCUUAAGUGCCAUAACGAGCGCAACCCCUCUCGCCAGUUGCCAUCACUUAGGGUGGGCACUCUGGGGACACUGCCACCGUAAGGUGUGAGGAAGGUGGGGAUGACGUCAAAUCAGCACGGCCCUUACGUCCGGGGCUACACACGUGUUACAAUGGGGAGUACAGAGAGUAGGGUGCCGGCAACGUCGCUCCAAUCAAGAAAGCUCUCCUCAGUUCGGAUUGGGGUCUGCAACCCGACCCCAUGAAGCUGGAUUCGCUAGUAAUCGC